CUCACCUUAAAUGUAUUGUACUUGUCCUUGCCCGUUGGGCGGUUUGACUCGGCGUUAUAAGUUAUUUCGCUGAGGACACUCGCAAGGGUGGCCGCCCAAAGAGCUUCUUGGUCUUGCUUCACAGUGUGUCACACGUAAAUGAAGCUGCAACAAACUUGACAUCUGGCCUCAAAUCAGGUAGGACUACCCGCUGAACUUAA
rnacentral:misc_RNA from 1 species